CGGCAACAGCUCAAAUUUGAAAUCUGGCCCCCCGGGGGUCCGAGUUGUAAUUUGUAGGGGAUGCUUUGGGGUCGCCACCGGCCUAAGUUCCUUGGAACAGGACGUCACAGAGGGUGAGAAUCCCGUACGUGGCCGGAAGGGUGCCCCGUGUAAAGCUCCUCCGAC
rnacentral:rRNA from 1 species